rnacentral:rRNA from 1 species
GACGAACGCUGGCGGCGUGCUUAACACAUGCAAGUCGAACGGAAAGGCCUCUUUCGGGGGGUACUCGAGUGGCGAACGGGUGAGUAACACGUGAGUAACCUGCCCUUUACUUUGGGAUAACUUCAGGAAACUGGGGCUAAUACCGGAUAGGAGCUCCUGCUGCAUGGUGGGGGUCGGAAAGUUUCGGGGGUUGGGGAUGGAAGCGCGGGUUAUCAGCGUGUUGGUGGGGUAGUGGCUUACCAAGGCUUUGACGGGUAGCCGGCCUGGGAGGGUGACCGGCCACAUUGGGACUGAGAUACGGACCAGAAUGCUACGGGAGGCAGCAGUGGGGAAUAUUGCACAAUGGGUGGAAGCCUGAUGCAGCAGCGCCGUGUGCGGGAUGACGGGCUUCGGGUUGUAAACCGCUUUCGCUCAUGACGAAGCUUUGUGUGACGGUAGUGGAUAAAGAAGCACCGGCUAACUACGUG